CAAAAUUCCUGUCUUUAUUUCAUCUGUGCUCACUUUAGUCCAAGUGCAAGGGUUCUCAGAAGGUGAUCUCUUUAACUGGGCUGUAAAGUUUAGCAGUAGGGAAAAAAAGCAGAAUAACAUCUCUUGUUUGCAAGGAGAGAUGUGAGGGAUCAGUCCUGCAGCUGCGAUACCUCUCCAUCCAGUGGCAGGUUCAAUUUGAGACAUGUUUGUAGGUGGAAUGGGCAAAAGGGCUGACACCUUCUGUCCAUGAAAUCUGAGUAAAUGCACUGUCCCUUUUGCAGUCUGCGAGGUUUCAAGGCCCCCCUGAUGCAGCAGUGCCUCUGCUAUGCCGUAUCAGGAAGAUGUUUAUCUAUUAUGGUUUCAGGACACGAGCAGAUGAUGCAUCCAGGUCCAAGUUUCAAGCCUGAGCAGGACUGGAAGCCGUAUAUGGUCCUGAGCUGCUCACUGUGGGGCAGAGAAGUCUGAGCUUCACUUUUGUUCAUCGCCAAAUUGCAGCCUGAGAGGAAGCUGGGUUGGGCUGGAUUCCUCAAAGAGGAGUGACUUUCAUGUACAUAACACACGUUUUCAACAGACCUGCCCUUGGGGUUGGACCAGAGCUACCUUCCACGAAAAGCCCCUGGAAAACUCACUGUGGCUCAGCAGGGAAUGACCAAAUCCUCCUGAUGAAGAGGGAGAACACUCUUGGCAAGGCUGUUGCUUGUGUCAGGUUCUGGACUCUCCACCCAUUGCCUGUAACCAUCUUUACAAAAGAAGGUCCUGCCUCAGGGGGCAUUUCUGUGCACUGAGAGGCAUGUGUGGGUUGUCAUGGAGCAUGAAGAGUAAUGGGACUGCUUCCUGCACCUUCCACUGGCCAGGACCACCAGCUGAGCCUGGUGGUGCUCCAGCCCUCCUGGGCACCUCAGGGGAGACCUGACUGACUGGUUCUGCCAAUAUUGCUGCUCUCUGGGAAAAAGCCCUUUUGACAAAAACAUUGUUUAUUGUUUUAUUCACAAAAUCAUACCAAUCUUCAAAGAUAUUCCAUGAAAGCAUUUGGUUUUUAAAUUAAAAAAAUAUAUAUUUAAAGAAAAAAAAAGAAAUUUAAGUUCAAACUAUCUGUAUGUUGGUUUGGCUUCUCAUAAUCCAGCCAAAUAAAAGACUUUGUAUUGCUAUUUAUAUAUUAUUU
rnacentral:lncRNA from 1 species